rnacentral:rRNA from 1 species
AUUGAACGCUGGCGGCAGGCCUAACACAUGCAAGUCGAACGAGUGGCGGACGGGUGAGUAAUGUCUGGGAAACUGCCAGAUGGAGGGGGAUAACUACUGGAAAAGGUAGCUAAUACCGCAUACCAUCGGAUGUGCCCAGAUGGGAUUAGCUAGUAGGUGGGGUAAUGGCUCACCAAGGCGACGAUCCCUAGCUGGUCUGCGAGGAUGACCAGCCACACGGGAACUGAGACACGGUCCAGACGCCUACGGGAGGCAGCAGUGGGAAAGAUUGCACAAUGGGCGCAAGCCUGAUGCAGCCAUGCCGCGUGUAUGAAGAAGGCCUUCGGGUUGUAAAGUACUUUCAGCGGGGAGGCGUUACCCGCAGAAGAAGCACCGGCUAACUCCGUGCCAGCCGCCGCGGUAAUAC